UGGAGAGGACCCCCGCCCGCCGCCCUCCGCGCCUGCGCCCCGCGACCCCCCGGACAGGCCCCGGUCGGGGGCGCGGGUCGAAAUGGAGGCGGGAGCGCGCGCGCCGCUCGCGGUCAACCAGCUUGUCGCUCCGUCCCGCACAGCUUCCUCACGCUGCCCCCGGCCGGCCCCGUCACGCGCGACAGCCCCCGCGUCGGCCCGUCAGUCAGUCGUUCCGUACAGGCCCAGCCGCAGCCGUUUUCUCAACCUCGCUCCCCCGCGCGGCGGCCGGGAGAAGAGACGAGGGUGCAGAGCGCCUCCAGGCCCGCCGGCCGAACCCGGUUACCUGGGCGGGCUGCCCGGCGGAGGGAGCCAGCCAGGCCAGGCCAGGCCGGGCCGCCUCACACCCGCGGCGGCGGCGGCGGCGGCGGCGGCGGCGGCAGCAGCGGCUGCGGCGGCGGAGGCGGGUCCUCUGCGCGCCCUCUCCGGGGAGGGGCGGGGGCGGAGCAGCCUGCGGAUUGGCCGGUGGGCUCUGAUGGACAGCAGGCAUGUCCCGCCCCUCCCUCUUGGCAGCGCAGGGCUGGCUUCAGGCGCUCCUGCGACGGCCGGGCUCCCGUCUGUCCCUCCCUUGCGGCCGGUGUGGCCUUCGACAGACCCGUCAUGCGGAGAAGCCCCCAGGCCUGAGCGUCCGCUGUAGGGCCUUUAGACCUGUGGCCCCCGGUGGCCUCCAUCUCUGUGCUUCUCAUCAGCCACUGCCCCACCUCAUGCUCCGCCUCCACGCGCCCCUCUUGCAAAUGCUUUCCGGAGCUUUGGUUUUCGUGGCCUAAUUCCCCGUGUUUUCCUCCUGCCUCUCCGGCCGCUGCCUUUCAGCCCCAGAAGUUUCUCUCCCUCUGGGCUAGGUCCUGAGCCAGUUCCUAAGGCGACCCGAACUUUCGCAUGGCUUCACCCCAGACCCAGGCACACGUAGCCCCAAACCUGUAUUUCCCCCGCAUCCCACUGUCUGUUCCACGGCCCCGCUUAACAUGAGCGUCUCACCUCCCUCCUCAAACAGCUCUUUCCACAGUCUUCACUUUCUCGGAACAUGGCACUAAGUCUUCUAAGGUGCUUGGGCCAAAACCCUUGGAGUUAUCCUUGAUUCCUCUGUCGGCCUCAACCACCCAGCAAUCUAGCAAGGCCUUUUUGCUUCUACCAUCGGCUAUCUCCACUCCACCCACAAGCCUGACGUCCAUCUUGUCUCAUCCAGACUAUUUACUCUCCCUGAUCUUGCCUGCAUCUAUUCAUGCUUUAAUCUUUAAGAGGAAAUUAAAUCGCGAUCCCCUACCUCCGGCCUCAAACCCUCCAUGACUUCCCACUGCACUUAAAAUCUAUACUCCCUCCUCUCCAGCUGGUCCUGUAUGGUCGGGCCCUUUCUCUCUCUCCCUCCUUGUCUCUCACCACCUCGCCCUCAACCUCCAUGCUCCAGCCACAAGGGCCUUUUAGUGGUUAUUUGAAUAAUUCACAUUGUCUUCUUGAAGCCAUCCCUAGACUUGCCCCUGCAGUGUAGCUGCCCCCGUUCACAGACAAACUGAAGACACCUGUGGUCACAGUGGAGCCGGUCUGACAGAUGUUGAGUCAGGCAAAGCAGGACAACCUUUUAGAGGCUAGAGGCCCAGCAGAGCACUCAGCUGAUGCCAGAAAAGGACCCAGGUGUCAGGAAUUCAUGAAAAAACUGAGGCAGAGAGAAAGAGACGUGCUUCUGGACACACAGUUGAGAGAUGGCAGAGAUGGGGUUCAAACCCAGGCAGCCUGGCUCCAGAGUCAAUGCUAAUGUUGCCUUCCGUGUGGGCCCAAGGUGGAUUUGACAAAAAAAUGGACAUGAGCUGCUGAGCAGAUGCAGGGGGUAAGGGAAAGAGGAGCCAAGCAAGCAGCCAGAUAACCUGGCACAUGGAAACCAUCCCACUUUGCCCACAGCUGGACUGGAGCAUCACAGAAAAGCCUGUUAGGAGGGAGUUCUUCAGACUACACAUCAGGCUUCUGCUUCUGGACAAGGCUGAAGUGUGAAGAGGGAACCAACCUACUGGAGUAAUAAGCAAGGGGGUGGGUCUUCUCCCAACUCCGUUCUCAAGCAUUUUUCGGGGCCUGUCCUCUCUGGCCCUCACAUACCUGUCCAACCUCUUCCCUCAUCCCCAUUGGCCAGGUCAGCUUCCCAUCCUCUGGUUUGCUCUCCCAGGCCUGCCACCACCAAGGGUGACCUUCACGAUUUUUUUUGACCAGGAUCUAGUUGCUGGCUCCUGCCCUCAGAGGACUUGUAGGAAGAUCCCUGCUGGAAAAGGUAAGCAGGAGUUUCUCCUCAUCAGUAAAAUCUUAUGCCUGCAAGGUCUUCUGCCCCUAAUUUCUAGUUCUGGACCAAGGUUUGUCACCUGGUUGUGGACAGUCCUGCUUAAGUCCCAAACCUCAGGUCCAAAUUCUCAUCACCUACCCCCCAAGCCAUUAAGUGUUUCGAUUAUUUCAAGAGCCUCUGUGUUGCCAUUCUUUAUGUUCAAUGGUUUAGCUACCUCAACAGCACAGAAUUUACAAAACUUGGCUGUAAUUGCUCCAAAGCACUGAUAGCUACAUAACCUCCUUUAUUCCUGGUGUGAAUGCUCCCUCCCUCACGGGCCAGUGAAAUGCAGGCUUGCCAAGAAGGACCUUCCAGGGUUCUCUUCUGUGGGCCAACACCAGCCCAGCCCCAGGGAGUUAAGAGACCAUCAAGGAGAUGGCUCUCCUCCCGAAUAUACCUGUGCUUGCUAGCAAGCCAGAGGGCCUAGGGCUAAGUGACCUUCCUGCUUCGUUUGGCCAGGAUAACUCACCUUUCACCCUGAACCAUUUUUGUAGGGACCCUACCAACAUGCGUACAGGAGCCCUGGGGAGUAGUGACCACUCCCUUUUUCAACUAACCAAUCAACACAGGGAGUCUACUUUGGGCCUCUGGGAUCCAGUGAGUACUGGAUUAGAAAUUGGCUUAGCACCCUUAAUUCCUGCCAUCCUGACUGUAAGCUUAGCCACACAAGCAAACCCGAACAAGCUCCCUACAGCUUCUGGCCAGCACACACGGAAAGUGGAAAAUCUGCCUCCCAAAUACGUUCACGCCAUCUUGCUCAACAAACAUUUCCUACCCUAGGCUCCAAAUAGUUGUUGUACCCCACCUGUUCUUACCGAUUUUCUAUACCCUCUCUUACUUCCUGGGCCUGCUUUUAUCCAAGGAUGUGGACUCUGGCUCCCCUCUGACCCACAUCCACAGCAGCGGGACAGGUACAGCCCCUUCCAGG